GCAAGUCGAACGAAGGCUUCGGCCUUAGUGGCGCACGGGUGCGUAACGCGUGGGAAUCUGCCCUUUGCUUCGGAAUAACAGUGGGAAACUACUGCUAAUACCGGAUGAUGUCUUCGGACCAAAGAUUUAUCGGCAAGGGAUGAGCCCGCGUAGGAUUAGGUAGUUGGUGGGGUAAAGGCCUACCAAGCCUACGAUCUAUAGCUGGUUUGAGAGGAUGAUC
rnacentral:rRNA from 1 species